CCUACGGGAGGCUGCAGUGGGGAAUAUUGCACAAUGGGGGAAACCCUGAUGCAGCGACGCCGCGUGAGCGAUGAAGUAUCUCGGUAUGUAAAGCUCUAUUAGUAGGGAAGAAAAUGACGGUACCUGUCCAAGAAGCCCCGGCCAACUUCGUGCCAGCAGCCGCGGCAAGACGGAGGGGGCAAGCGUUAUCCGGAUUGACCGGGUGUUAAGGGAGCGUAGACGGUGGUGCAAGCCAGCUGUGAAAGCCUGGGGCGCAACCCCGGGACUGCAUUUGGAACUGUGCUGCUAGAAUGUCGGAGAGGCAGGCGGAAUUCCUAGUGUAGCGGUGAAAUGCGUAGAUAUCUGGAAGAACAUCAGUGGCGAAGGCAACUAUCUGGCACAUAACUGACGCUGAGGCGCGAAAGCGUGGGUAGCAAACAGGAUUAGAUACCCGGGUAGUC
rnacentral:rRNA from 1 species